CCUACGGGAGGCUGCAGUGGGGAAUAUUGCACAAUGGGGGAAACCCUGAUGCAGCGACGCCGCGUGAGUGAAGAAGUAUUUCGGUAUGUAAAGCUCUAUCAGCAGGGAAGAAAUAGCGACCUUUGGGUCGCCAGACGGUACCUGACUAAGAAGCCCCGGCUAACUACGUGCCAGCAGCCGCGGUAAUACGUAGGGGGCAAGCGUUAUCCGGAUUUACUGGGUGUAAAGGGAGCGUAGACGGCAGCACAAGUCUGAAGUGAAAUGCCGGGGCUCAACCCCGUACUGCCGUUGAAACUGCAUCCCUUGAGUGCGCGAGAAGUAUGCGGAAUGCGUGGUGUAGCGGUGAAAUGCAUAGAUAUCACGCAGAACUCCGAUUGCGAAGGCAGCAUACCGGCGCGCAACUGACGCUCAUGCACGAAAGCGUGGGUAUCGAACAGGAUUAGAUACCCCUGUAGUC
rnacentral:rRNA from 1 species